UGGGGAAUAUUGCACAAUGGGCGGAAGCCUGAUGCAGCAACGCCGCGUGCGGGAUGACGGCCUUCGGGUUGUAAACCGCUUUCGCCUGUGACGAAGCGUGAGUGACGGUAAUGGGUAAAGAAGCACCGGCUAACUACGUGCCAGCAGCCGCGGUGAUACGUAGGGUGCGAGCGUUGUCCGGAUUUAUUGGGCGUAAAGGGCUCGUAGGUGGUUGAUCGCGUCGGAAGUGUAAUCUUGGGGCUUAACCCUGAGCGUGCUUUCGAUACGGGUUGACUUGAGGAAGGUAGGGGAGAAUGGAAUUCCUGGUGGAGCGGUGGAAUGCGCAGAUAUCAGGAGGAACACCAGUGGCGAAGGCGGUUCUCUGUGCCUUUCCUGACGCUGAGGAGCGAAAGCGUGGGGAGCGAACA
rnacentral:rRNA from 1 species